CCUACGGGAGGCAGCAGUGAGGAAUAUUGGUCAAUGGGCGCUAGGCUGAACCAGCCAAGCCGCGUGAAGGAUGACUGCCCUAAGGAUUGUAAACUUCUUUUGUCUGGGGAUAAAGUGCAGUAUGUAUACUGCUUUGCAUGUACCUUAUGAAUAAGGAUCGGCUAACUCCGUGCCAGCAGCCGCGGUAAUACGGAGGAUCCGAGCGUUAUCCGGAUUUAUUGGGUUUAAAGGGAGCGUAGGCGGGGUGUUAAGUCAGUUGUGAAAGUUUGGGGCUCAACCGUACACGUGCAGUUGAUACUGGCUGCCUUGAGAAGUGUAGAGGUAUGCGGAAUUCGCGGUGUAGCGGUGAAAUGCUUAGAUAGUGCGAAGAACUCCGAGUGCGAAGGCAGCAUGCCGG
rnacentral:rRNA from 1 species